CCCCAGAGAUGAUGAUGCUUUGAUGGACAGACAGAGAACAGAGGAACCCGAUCUUACAUGGCUCCGGAACAAAGGAGAGCACUAUGACCGAAAAGUGGAUAUCUUGCUCGGGGUUGAUAUUUGGAACUUCUUUGGAAAGUCUCUAUGGCCAUGAAAGACAGUGGUUUUUGAAGAUGCCAGAUGUCUGAAGCUUCCCAAUGACUUUUCAAAGACUUUUCCCCAAGAGAACCAUAUCAUCGAGUUAAUGCUGCGCGAGAAGCCAGAAGACCGACCCGAUGCAAGUAAAGUGAAGGCAGAGCUGGAGAAGUGGGCUCAGACAUUCAGCACAAAAAAUGUGCGUCAGGAAAAUGCAACUAUCUGAUUAUCACAAGCAACUGUGACAAGAUCCAUUAGCAUAUAGAGAUGUGGUUAUUAACAUUUUCAUGAAAAUGUUUAGUGUACUGCCCUUACUGUAUAUAGCGCAUUAACUUGAAUUUUAACUCAUACUCCUAUGGCAAUGGGGGGGGGGGGGGCAGUUUGGGGUUCUAUGUUUUGCUCAAUCAUUAACCCUGCCAAUUAUGAAGAACCAAAGACCUAAUAUAAUAUCAUGGGUUUUAAAUGACCGGGAAAGAAAAAUGAAAUCAAGUUUUUUCAUGAAUUCACAUCUGUCCAGCUUUUAUUCUAACUAAUCACGUUUCAGUAAUUUCUGUGUUCACAGUUGACAUUUUAUUCUAUGCUGGAAAUGGUUAAAUGUACUGUAUUUAAAGUGGUGUCCAUAACAGCGUGUUUGUACUGAAUGUAUGUUAAGUGAAAAAUAAAAUAAUGGUUAUCUG